AUUAAAUUACCAAGAAACUCAACUGAGGCAGAGGUUUUAAAGUGCAUCACAUCUUUGAAUGAAGACCCUACUGUACAUGGACUCCUGGUCCAGUUACCUUUGGAUGCAGAAAAGACCAUUAGCACUGAGCUGGUGACAAAUACCAUCGCUCCCGAAAAGGAUGUGGAUGGUUUGACUAGCGUCAGUGCUGGGAAGCUUGCUAGAGGUGACUUAGAGGAUUGUUUCAUUCCCUGUACACCUAAAGGAUGCUUGGAACUUAUCAAAAAGACAGGUAAGGCUAAUUUUUCAGAGCCUCCCCUUUUUUAUCGUCUUUUAUUAAUGUUUAUACUUUCUAUU